rnacentral:rRNA from 1 species
UACGUAGGGUGCAAGCGUUGUCCGGAAUUAUUGGGCGUAAAGAGCUCGUAGGCGGUUUGUCGCGUCUGCUGUGAAAACCUAAGGCUCAACCUUGGGCUUGCAGUGGGUACGGGCAGACUAGAGUGCGGUAGGGGUGACUGGAAUUCCUGGUGUAGCGGUGGAAUGCGCAGAUAUCAGGAGGAACACCGAUGGCGAAGGCAGGUCACUGGGCCGCAACU